AGUGAACGCUGGCGGUAGGCCUAACACAUGCAAGUCGAACGGCAGCACAGUAAGAGCUUGCUCUUACGGGUGGCGAGUGGCGGACGGGUGAGGAAUACAUCGGAAUCUACUUUUUCGUGGGGGAUAACGUAGGGAAACUUACGCUAAUACCGCAUACGACCUACGGGUGAAAGCAGGGGUUCUUCGGACCUUGCGCGAUUGAAUGAGCCGAUGUCGGAUUAGCUAGUUGGCGGGGUAAAGGCCCACCAAGGCGACGAUCCGUAGCUGGUCUGAGAGGAUGAUCAGCCACACUGGAACUGAGACACGGUCCAGACUCCUACGGGAGGCAGCAGUGGGGAACAUUGGACAAUGGGCGCAAGCCUGAUCCAGCCAUACCGCGUGGGUGAAGAAGGCCUUCGGGUUGUAAAGCCCUUUUGUUGGGAAAGAAAAGCAGCAGGUUAAUACCCCGCUGUUCUGACGGUACCCAAAGAAUAAGCACCGGCUAACUUCGUG
rnacentral:rRNA from 1 species